CCAAGAAGAGCAGGUGGGGUCCCGAAGAUUACGGGCCCCUGGACUUUUGAGAAGGGGCUUGGGGCCUACCAGAACCCCACAGAAGUAGACCUCAGACAAACCAGCUUCUUCGUCUCAUGGGACUGGACACCACAGACUCUGGGGCUGCAUGCUUGAUAUUCUUGUCAAGUCACUCUUUGGCAUUCAGAAACAGCAGCAAGUUACCCUGGAGAGUGUUCUCUUCAGAGAUUUCCACAGGAAAGCUUUUACAGAUCUGGUGAAAUCUUCUGGGGAGGCACGUUUAAAGCACCUGCGGGAUAUAUCACUUGACUUGGAAGUGCUGAAGAUCCAUCAGUGACCUGCGAGAUAAGUACGCAAAGUAUGAAAAAUUCCACUAAGGUGGAAGAAGGAUGACGUGACGAAGAAGUUCAGAUAGGCUCAGGGCUGCAUUUCAAGCACUAGAGCUUAGUAGAAAAAUGGCAUUCCCGGUAUGAACGCGUGCCUUUGGUGAAAAAAAAUCCUCAUUCUUCAACAUUUUACACCCGGUGUUUUGAGGAAGAAUAAAACAAUUACUAACCCUGCAAUCUUUAAUCAAGCAGAAACACAAGAUGCAAUGCACAGAAUAUUUAUCCGAAUCGCAGAGGGAGACCGCACAGUGGAGGUGAACUUCAUCAUAGUCCCCGAUGAACUUGAAGACGGUGACGUGGAAGCGGCAGGUGAGGGAGACAGCAUUCUCCUCGAUGCCGAUGGUGUUGUCUUUAAUGUUCUGGCACCUACUCAUUAGGAAAAGUGCUAUCUUAGCUUCCUCUUCAACCUCAUCCCUUCCUUCAGAACAGCCUCUUUCCACCUCCUUUUUCUCCAAACUGCACGUUUCACAUAAGUAACCAAAUUGAUCCUGUCAGGAUGUCCACCUUGUGUUUCUCGAGCAGUUAACACGCACCUCUAAUCAAUUGCCAUCAUUCCUGCCAUUAGAAACCUAAUGUCCCCGGGGGCACUGCGAUCCCCUGCAAUUGAAUUUCCCCUCAUUUUCCCUGCUUCGGGCUGAUGCGGUUGUAAUAAACUUGAAAUUUU